CCUAGAGUUGUGGGCUUUGCCUGCUAUCUCUUACCCAUGUCUUUUGAGCACUUACGUUUCCUCGGCGGGUCCGCCCGCCGAUUGGACAUUAUAAACCCUUUGCAGUUGCAAUCAGCGUCUGAAAAACUUAAUAGUUA
rnacentral:misc_RNA from 1 species